rnacentral:rRNA from 1 species
GACAGAGGGUGCAAACGUUGUUCGGAAUUACUGGGCGUAAAGCGUGUGUAGGCGGUCUCAUAAGUCGGAUGUGAAAGCCCCGGGCUCAACCCGGGAAGUGCAUUCGAAACUGCGAGGCUAGAGUAUCGGAGAGGUUGGUGGAAUUCUCGGUGUAGAGGUGAAAUUCGUAGAUAUCGAGAGGAACACCGGUGGCGAAGGCGGCCAACUGGACGAAUACUGACGCUGAGACACGAAAGCGUGGGUAGCAAACAGG